UAUUUUGUGAUCAUGUCUAUAUCAUUUCAGGGUUUGGAUCUGGAUUUUUGAGAUGAACUGGAAUAACAUAGGAAACCGGCUUCUCUCAGCCAUUUUUCCUCAGCCAAUGGCAGGAGGAUACAAUCCCCAAUAUCCACCAGGCACUGUCUACCCUCCUCAGCCUUGGGGUGCACCUGGGUACGGUACUGUAGCCCCACCUUAUGGAGGGUAUGGACCUGGCUAUGAGUCUUGGCAGGGAUAUGAGCACAGGCAUCGUCAUCAUCAUCAUCAUCAUGGUCAUCAUCAUGGACAUCAUCAUGGUCAUCAUCAUGGUCAUCAUCACCAUCAUGGCUGCUAACACAAUCAUGGUCACAAGAAAGGAAGCACGUGUCAUGGGUACUCCAGCAGCGACUCGGACUAGAUGAAGAUGAAGGAAACAAGACAAGUUGCCACCAGGAAUCCUUCACCCUGCUACCUUAUAGUAGAUUAUAAUAAACAGUUUGUUUGAUUUCAAAUGUUGGGAUUAUAAAACGCACCACAAGGUUUUUAGAAAGCUGUUAAAGUCAGGUUCAGCUGUUACAUAUUAUGAAGUGUUUAGCCAAUGUAUUUGAAAAUAGAAGUAAUGUAUUGUAGUGAUGUAUUAGCUUCGGCAGUAGUCAGUGUGUGACAAGGGGUAUGUUUUUGAUGUAUUUGACAAUAAUUGUAAUUGUUCCCUUGUGGUAAACAACAUAAAAAAGGUUUCUGUUAUUCAUAAAAUCAUGUCAUCCUGCAAUGCCCUGCCUCUUUAUUCCCUAUUCCAUUUGACCUCAUAGUUUCCAUUACUCUGUGUGUGUUUUCUAUCAGUGUGUAUUAAAAUUAUUUUUAUGUA